AAUACGUAGGGGGCGAGCGUUGUCCGGAUUCAUUGGGCGUAAAGAGCUCGUAGGCGGCUUGGCAAGUCGGGUGUGAAACCUCCAGGCUCAACCUGGAGACGCCAUUCGAGACUGCCAUGGCUAGAGUCCGGUAGGGGACCACGGAAUUCCUGGUGUAGCGGUGAAAUGCGCAGAUAUCAGGAGGAACACCGGUGGCGAAGGCGGUGGUCUGGGCCGGCACAGACGCUGAGGAGCGAAAGCGUGGGUAGCAAACA
rnacentral:rRNA from 1 species